UACGUAGGGGGCAAGCGUUGUCCGGAAUCAUUGGGCGUAAAGCGCGUGUAGGCGGUUCUGUAAGUCCCGCGUGAAAUCCCCCGGCUCAACCGGGGAACUGCGCGGGAGACUGCGGGGCUUGAGUUCGGGAGAGGGAAGCGGAAUUCCGGGUGUAGCGGUGAAAUGCGCAGAUAUCAGGAGGAACACCGGUGGCGAAGGCGGGUCUCUGGGCCGAUACUGACGCUGAGGAGCGAAAGCGUGGGGAGCGAACAGG
rnacentral:rRNA from 1 species